UACAGAGGAUGCAAGCGUUAUCCGGAAUCAUUGGGCGUAAAGCGCGCGUAGGUGGCCUCAUAAGUCCGCUGUGAAAGUCAAAGGCUCAACCUUUGAAAGCCGGUGGAUACUGUGAGGCUAGAGUACGGAAGAGGCGAGUGGAAUUCCUGGUGUAGCGGUGAAAUGCGCAGAUAUCAGGAAGAACACCCGUGGCGAAGGCGGCUCUCUGGGACGGUACUGACGCUGAGACGCGAAAGCGUGGGGAGCGAACAGG
rnacentral:rRNA from 1 species